AAAUUUCCCCUUUGGCAUUUUUAAUGGUUUCUUGCAGAUCUGGGCAUCACUUGCUUUAGUCUAAAUAAUUUAUUUUAUUCUAUAGUGCAGGCUUCCUGGAGACAAAUUUCUCAGCUUUUAUCUUUUGUCUAUCUGAAAGUUUAUUUAAUUUAUCUUUGUACAUAGAGCAUAUAUUCACUGGAGAUAGAAUUUUAUUAUAACAGUGUUUUUUUUUUUUUUUUUUGCUUUCUUUCAGUUCUUUUAAGAUAUAUUUCCAGGGGAGACAGAGUAAGAUGGCUCCACCAAUUGUUCCCCCGACAAGGACACCAAUUUAACAAUCAUCUACACAGAAAAAACACCCUCGUAAGGAUAAAAAUCAAUACAUUUGCUCUUGGAUCCCAUCCACCACGCUGUGAGGAAGCCAAAUUACCUCAUGAAGAUGCCCUCAAGGAGCUGAACCAAAGGCUCUGGCCCAUAGCCUUACGGAUCUCCAAGUUGAAAGUCAGCACCAACCUGCUAGUCAUAAGAAUGUUCCUAAUCACUCCUCAUCCUCCUCCCUCCUGCCACACUGAACUUUUUAAUGUGCAGCAUACUGGAGAGAAAACGAGUACUUUGGUCAGACAAGGAAACAGAGCUGAACAUGGAAAAAAGAACCAUAUUCUAAUUUUAAAGAAAGUGGCUCCGCAGAAUCUUAGAUUUUCCAAGCUGUGGGGCCUUUAUUGUGCUAGGAAAAAAAAGGGAAAAUAAUACACAAAACUGAAUCUAUUAUAUUUUCCCUUAAUGGCAAAUCUUGAUAAAAGAAAAUGGAACUUUAGAAUGGAAGGAGCAUCUGGGCUCAUUUUCUAAUGAAAUAUCUUUACAAAUGAGAAACCUAAGGGUCAGAGAGAAAAUGUGACUUGCCCAAGCUCUCACAGCUUUCCAUGACAGAAGUAGAAUCUAAGUCUUGAUGCUUAUAUUUUAGUAUAACUAAGUCAGGUAAUAGCAGAGAACACUCAGAAACUUUAACAGUAUGUCAAUUUCUUGGACUAUAAUGUUGAUGACUGUUUUAGGAUUGAUUAUUUUAAAGAUACAGAAAUAUUUUUUCUGUCCUUUUUUUUGGCAACAACAGAGCGUGCUUUUUUCUCUCCUCAUUAUUCUGUGGGGAAAUUUUGUGAAAUUCUGUCCAGUAAAACUGACUGAGGCAGUUGGGAGAAUGACCACUGCCUUCAUGUAGUAACAGAAGCAAUAAUCUCUAGUGAGAAGACAAUUGGUUGCAGGCAAGUCUCACUGGUACUAUGAUAGGGGACCCAGAUACAUUAGAGAAAAGCAAAUUAACAUGACCCCCAGGUCUCUGGAGUCAUAUAAGACGCUAAGUCUAAGUCAUAUAAGUCCCUUAUAACUUCAUAGUCAUAAGGGACUUGAAGCCUAUGUGAGUUCAUUGUUAUGUGAUGGAGAGUGGAGCAAUGGAGCAAGGAAGAAUGAGUGGAAAACUGUUUGGUGUUUAACUAAUGUGCUCAUAGAAAACCUGAUAAUUUUUGGCUAGUUCAAAGUUGUGUCUGACCUGAAGCAACUGUUAUUGCCUACUGACUAGAGUUCUUUGUGGAGGUUAUAUGAUUCACUUGAAGUGUUUUCCAAUACCAAAUUGGUUAGCUAAUUUAAAUAAGGAACCAGAUAUGUUAUUUCUUCCCCAGACUUCUUUCAACAAAAGCUAAUUUUCUUUCCUUCCUCCUAUCCAAAACACAACUAAUAAAAU
rnacentral:lncRNA from 1 species